GGGAGAUAGCACAUUUUUGAAACCAGCCACAUCUUUGUUGUUGUCAAAGGCACUGUUCGCAUCUUCACCUGUCUAGAUGGUACUUUUUGCUUCCAAGUCUGUCAAAGAAGAAUCCAGUUUCAAGAUAAUAGUAUCUUAUUAUCUUGUUUAGUAUUGAUACUUUAUCUAUUCAAGUCCUUGGAAGUAUCUGUAAAGAUUCUAGACACGAAAUCCUCAUCUUUGUUGGUUGGGUGUAGCUAGGGAAUUUUGACAGCUUGAAGGCAGGCUGUUCAAGCUCUUGCUAGACCAUUCUAUUGUGUUAUUGAUCUAUCUCCUCACCCAUAUUCUGGCUGGUUGAGGAUAGUUCAUAUUCACAUCAUUAUAU
rnacentral:misc_RNA from 1 species